UACAGAGGUGGCAAGCGUUGUUCGGAAUUACUGGGCGUAAAGGGCGCGUAGGCGGCCAUCUAAGUCAGACGUGAAAUCCCCCGGCUUAACCUGGGAACUGCGUCUGAUACUGGACGGCUUGAGUUUGGGAGAGGGAUGCAGAAUUCCAGGUGUAGCGGUGAAAUGCGUAGAUAUCUGGAGGAAUACCGGUGGCGAAGGCGGCAUCCUGGACUAAUACUGACGCUGAGGCGCGAAAGCUAGGGGAGCAAAC
rnacentral:rRNA from 1 species